rnacentral:rRNA from 1 species
UACGUAGGGCGCAAGCGUUGUCCGGAAUUAUUGGGCGUAAAGAGCUCGUAGGCGGCUUGUCACGUCGGGUGUGAAAUCUCGGGGCUUAACUCCGAAACUGCAUUCGAUACUGCCGUGCUUGAGGACUGGAGAGGAGACUGGAAUUUACGGUGUAGCGGUGAAAUGCGUAGAUAUCGUAAGGAAGACCAGUGGCGAAGGCGGCAUCCUGGACCGGUAUUGACGCUGAGUGAGCGAAAGCCAGGGGAGCAAACGGG